rnacentral:rRNA from 1 species
UACGUAGGGUGCAAGCGUUGUUCGGAAUUAUUGGGCGUAAAGGGCAUGUAGGUGGUCUAGUAAGUCUACUGUGAAAUCCCUGAGCUUAACUCAGGAAGUGCGGUGGAUACUGCAAGACUAGAGUACUGUAGAGGGUAGUGGAAUUUCCGGUGUAGCGGUGAAAUGCGUAGAGAUCGGAAGGAACACCAGUGGCGAAGGCGGCUACCUGGACAGCUACUGACACUGAGGCGCGAGAGCGUGGGGAGCAAACAGG